CUCCAUGUUUUCAUUGGUUGCUACAGUAAUCUUUUCCGAUUAAUGAAAAAGGGGAACAAUUAUUGCUUGGUUGAACUGCUAUGACAUUUGGGUGAUCCUGAUAUUCUGGGAAAAAUCCUUAUAAACAUCUUUAUUAUUCUUUAACCAUGUUUGUAUGAUAUCUGAUAUUUUUUUAUUCUUGGAUCUCCACUUAAAGAGGUGGGCGCAGACGAAAAUCUACUGUUCAAGGAUCAUACUCAUACUUUUGUAAACAAAGGGGGUAACAUUGGUGACGAUCUCCAAAGGCAUAUCUUCAGCGCCUCAAGGAACUUGCUGAUGCUCUUGCUGCAAGUGUUGCGCCUAUUGACGAUGCUGAUCUCGUUUAUCACACUCUUCAUGGUCUCCCUGAUGAAUUUGAGCCGUUGUUGACUCUAUUGAAGUGUGUGCUGAUCCAUGCUUCAUGUCUAGAGGAAGCUCUAGCUAUCUUUUGUUUUGAGUAUUUAUUCUCUAUGCUUCAUGCCUGCACCAAUUAUCUUGCAAAAAACAGAGCAGAGAAAUACAAUUGUUUUGAGUAUUUAUUCUC